GACGAACGCUGGCGGCGUGCUUAACACAUGCAAGUCGAGCGGGGAUGUAUUGCGGAAGGUUUCGGCUGGAAGCGGUACAUUCUAGCGGCGGACGGGUGAGUAACGCGUGAGCAAUCUGUCCCAGACAGGGGGAUAACACUUGGAAACAGGUGCUAAUACCGCAUAAGACCACGGGGAGGCAUCUUCCUGAGGUAAAAGGAGGAAUCCGGUCUGGGGUGAGCUCGCGUCCCAUUAGCUAGUUGGCGAGGUAACGGCCCACCAAGGCGACGAUGGGUAGCCGACCUGAGAGGGUGAUCGGCCACAUUGGAACUGAGACACGGUCCAGACUCCUACGGGAGGCAGCAGUGGGGAAUAUUGGGCAAUGGGCGAAAGCCUGACCCAGCAACGCCGCGUGAAGGAUGGAAGGUUUUCGGAUUGUAAACUUCUGUCCUAAGUGACGAAGG
rnacentral:rRNA from 1 species